UAGGGAAUAUUGGUCAAUGGAUGCAAGUCUGAACCAGCCAUGCCGCGUGCAGGAAGAAGGCCUUCUGGGUUGUAAACUGCUUUUGUCAGGGGAUAAAAUUUCCUUGCGAGGAAAAUUGAAGGUACCUGGCGAAUAAGCCACGGCUAACUACGUGCCAGCAGCCGCGGUAAUACGUAGGUGGCAAGCGUUGUCCGGAUUUAUUGGGUUUAAAGGGUGCGUAGGCGGCUUUAUAAGUCAGUGCUGAAAUAUCCCGGCUUAACCGGGAGGGUGGCAUUGAUACUGCAGAGCUUGAGUGAAGUCGAGGUAGGCGGAAUUGACGGUGUAGCGGUGAAAUGCUUAGAUAUCGUCAAGAACACCGAUAGUGAAGACAGCUUACUAGACUUCAACUGACGCUGAGGCACGAAAGUGUGGGGAUCAAACAG
rnacentral:rRNA from 1 species